GUACGUAUCAGGUGAUAAGUACCGGUUUUGGACAAUACUUUAAACCUUUCUUUUGCCAUUGAAGGUGUUUAGUAUUUUCAAGGGCAUGUGCUUUUUAAAUCAGGUCAUGGGUUGAGUUAGCUUACAACAUGUUGGUGAUGAGUUCUCCCUCCAUCCAUAGGGGGGUCCAUCGGGUCUGUUACUGGGUUAUCAAGCCGUGGGGCCCCAUCUGCAUGAACUGGGUGCAUCAGGAUUCAGAGUAAGGAAACUAUCACAUCUUGGUGCAUGAGUUCCUCCUAAUUUCUUAUUCUUAUACAAAGACAAGUGGAGCAGUUGGACUUUCAUGAGUCCAAGCAAAAUGAAUCCCAUGUAACUUGGCAGUUGGCACAGACACGUAGCAUCCUGCUAGUUUUUGCUGUUCAAAGUAGGAGAUGAAGUGUUGGUUUCCUUCUGAAAAGACCGGUUUCUCAAUAUAUGUAUCAUAAUCCUGUGCAAAAAAUUGAAGCUGGGGGCCUAAUGCCAAUUAUCUUGAGUUGGCAGAAGAUAUCUAUAUCAGUCCAAUUUUCAACAUUGUGGAUUUAUAUGGAUAUUCAGGGUAAAGGAGAAAGCAAUCGCAUUGGUGGCGGUACAUGGGUUGAGCGACUUCAAAAGAAGCCAGAUGAGGAAGUUGAAGACACUGUUGAUAUUAAGAUUGUCUUCGCUUGAUAAUGUAAUCAUGAGAAAAUUUCUGACCAAAUGGAGGAGCUCUAGCCAAAAUUUUCUCAGUUUCGGAGAAUUGAUGUGGAUCAUGACUAAGAUUAAGUGAGAGAGAAAGAGUUGGACCUGACGUUAACUGAGCGGAUGAUAUCAUCUAGUAGGGCCUAGACAGUGCCAUGGGACUUGAAACUAGGGUAGGAGUCCCUUUUUGAAAAUACUUGUUAGGGAAGUUAUGGUAAAUCACUUUUCUAUUCUAUUCUUUUUUUUUUUUUUUAAUAAAAAAAUUUAUUUUCUUCUAUACUUUAUUUCUGUUUUUAUUGGAGUUCCAAUGAAAUUAUCAAGGAUGUUUUUGUGUAUCCUAGCAUUUAAAGAUGGGUAUGUGCUAAACACAUGUCAGGAUGUAUGGGCACAUGAUACUGCAUUUUUUUUCAGAGAGUUCUCUCAUG